UCAUAAGACAACGGGCCGUGAGCGAGGGAGGUUGUGGCGCGGUGUCCGCCGCCGUCGCGGUCAUUUCCACGGGGAACGGCACCCGAGCGGAUCCCCAUCGUGGAAACUGGCUAUGCCCGCGGUACGUCGUGCGGCGGUUUUGUGGCAGUGAGUGCUGCGAUGAAUGUGUACGGUCGAGCGGGUCGUACGGACGAAUGUCGGGUGAACGAGGUGAGGUCGCAGCCUUGGCAAGUUGCGAGUGUCAACCGACAGGCGGCGCGUUAGCAACACAAGCGAUCGAGCUACAACGAACGAACGAAAUGAGUGCUGUCUCUGAAAUAUCACUGGCUAAGUGAACCCUAUGACACGGGCCCGCGUUGGGGACCAAGGCCAAAACAAAGGAAGAAGAACAAGCAGCGGACGAGUGAGCGAGCGAGCGAGCGAGCGAGCGAAGUGUGUCGUCGUCAUCGACAACGAACAGCGAUUAACGAGCGGAGCACGAACGCGUCCUGACUCCUGCCUUGCGCGUUUAGUGGUCAUAAAUUUCGGAAGAUGCCGCAGCCUCAUGGACGGCUGAUUUAGCUGCUACUGCGAACGGAGGAACGGCCUGAACGGCUACGGACUGCGCCAGACGUGAUCAGACGUAAUUUGGAUGCGACUCGGAAGAAACGCUUGGUCAGGAAGAGAACUCGCUCAACCGGGAAGAGAAGCCUCCACGUUGACAGGCCGCUACACACCAAGAGGGCACGACAGGUUAUCGUCACGUCAGAAAUCUGCGACAGACGCUAGGAUUUAUACUGUAAACCUACAGAGCUACAAAGGAAGAUAUCGUUAUGGAUACCAAUUCUAAAUGUGAAAGUAAUAAAAACACAAAAAAACGUUUAAAAAGUCAGGAAAAACGUCUGGAAGACGUCAGAUUGGAAGAUAAUAACAAAAUUGAACAACUACUUCCAUGGUUACUAAAAUUUAAUAAAAUCAUACAUUCAUGUACAGGAAGUAGAAAUUAUGAACAUCUGGAACGAUUGCUUUUCUUCUACACCCAGUAAGAUUAUCAUUUACAUCAUUAUGAAGAUCCAAUUCAACGUUGUUAAAUUUUUUACAAGUAGAAAUUUCACACAUGUAUAAACAGAUCAGGGAUUAAAUAAGGUAUACAUAAAAGAUAUGUAAUUUUGCUGUAUUUCAGGAAUAUUCUUUCUAGCGUAGCAGAGAAUACUGUCGAAUUUAAUGAUAAAAUUAAUUUGAUAAAAAAUCAUAUUAAUAAAAUAUUAAUAUUCUUUCACAUGUAUUGGCUUGAUAUAAAACAACAGGUACU